ensembl:lncRNA
ACCGGGCACGGAAGCACACACAGCCUCUGCCAAAAGACGUCGAUGACGGGUGAGGAGCAAAUGGGAAGACGCAAUAGGAGGUGGUGUGGAGUCCCCUCACUCAGAGGGAUGAGGGGUCAGAGGCACAUUCUUUACCAGCUGAGCCAUCAGGGAAACCCGAGAGACGGAACCACUUAAGAAGUCAGGGGCCGUCUUGGUGAGAGUGAUGCGAACUGCCUUGACAAAGACGCCGCAGAAUUUUGUCAACUUAUCGCAGCCGCAGCUGACUCCUCGUUUCAAUUACUCAUCCGUUCCAGGUGUUCCUGCUUGGGGAGAUUUCUUCCAAGUGGUGAGUGACAGGCCCAGCAUCCUUGCCGGCCUGGUCCUCUGCCUUCUUCAACACCUGCCUCCCGAGGUCCUCGUGUGUGCACUGGUCUCUUCUUUGCUCUUGCUGUUUCUGUGUCUGUUGCUUGAAUGCCAUCCAGCUGAAAAACCUAAAAUGCAUGCACACUUGCUAGCCAUGGGAGAUUUCCAUGGUGUUCAUCCUUCCCCUGGCCGGAACGUCUCCACACGAGACACGUCAAAUGCUAAGAGCAGCUGGGACGUGUCCUCAAGCUGAGACGAGCAUCUGAGUCUGCUAUCGCUGAGUAUGGUAUCAGUGACCAGCUGCUGUGAAAAUGAAAGUGUCAGUUGCUCAUUGGUGUCUGACUCUUUGCGAUCUCAUGGACUGUAGCCCAUCAGGCUCCUCUGUCCAGGGGGAUUCUCCAGGCAAGAAUAUACAGGAGUUUGUAGCUACUGCCUUCUCCAGGGGGAUCUUCCCAACCCAGGGAUCAAACGCAGGUCAUCUGCAUUGCAGGUGCAUUCUUUACCCUCCGAGCCACCAGGGAGGCCCUCUGCCCAUGGGUAAAAACCCUCUGUUAAUGGCUGUGCGAACACUGAGAGCACACUUCCCUUGCCGCCAGGAUUAUACAUUGGUACAGUCGCUUUGGAAGUCUGUUGGGCGCCCUCUUGAAAAGCCAAAGGUGACCCAGAAGUCGCACUCGUGGGUAGAAACUCUGGAGAAUCCCUUGCCUGUUUGUGCAUGUGUUAGCCCGUUCUCAGGAG